rnacentral:rRNA from 1 species
GUGCCUACUUUUUUUGAAACAUUUCUGGUUGUUUUGGUAGAUGAGGAGGGAAUUGUUAGAGCAGACGUUCCUUUUAGAAGAGUAGAAUCCAAAUAUAGUGUUGAACAAGUAGGCGUAACGGUGGAGUUCGCCACAUUAACUUAG